rnacentral:rRNA from 1 species
GACGAACGCUGGCGGCGUGCCUAAUACAUGCAAGUAGAACGCAGUUGCGAACGGGUGAGUAAAGCGUAGGUAACUGCCUCAUAGCAGGGGAUAACUAAUGGAAAAGAUAGCUAAUACCGCAUACUGUGGGAUGGACCGGCGUUGUUUUCGGUGGGUGGUGAGGGAAAGGCUCACCAGGGCGACGAUACAUAGCCGACCUGAAAGGGGGUACGGCCAACCGGGGACUGAGAAAACGCCCCGACUCCUACGGGAGGCAGCAGUAGGGAAUCUUCGGAAAUGGACGGAAGUCUGACCGAGCAACGCCGCGGUAGUGAAGAAGGUUUUCGGGUCGUAAAGCUCUGUUGUUAGAGAAGCGGUAACUAACCAGAAAGGGACGGCUAACUACGUGCCAGCCGCCGCGGUAAUUC